CUGUGGUUUCAUGCAUUCUCACUUUGCUACCCUAUGGUUUAAAACGUAUCAAUUUGCCCCCCCUGUGGUUUCGUUUUUAUCUUUUUGUUAUCAAUUUUAUUAUUAUUAUUUUUUAAAAUCAGUGACAAAGUUAAAAUUAAAGGAUACUAAAAUGACUAUUCGAUAAAUAUAGAUGGUUAUCUGAAGUUUUUUUGUAUAUAAUUUAACGAAAUAUUAACGAAAAAGCUUCCGAAAAGAUAAAAAUGAAACCACAGGGGAGUAAAUUGAUACGUUUUAAACCACAGGGUAGCAAAGUGAGAAUGCACGAAACCACAGGGGGGGUUUUUGAAGUUUUCUCUUUUUUUUACUCUCUUUUAUUGAACCCUAUAUUUUAUUUUUUUUAAAUUUCAGAAAUAUUUUUAAAAAGUUAUUGCAUUAAUUGAGAGGCGGAAAUGAUCAAAUUAUUCUUACUUAUUCUAUAAAAUAUUUUUUAAUGUAUUUGUAUUAUUUUUAAAGAUAUUUUUGAUAUAAAUUAUAAAAAAUUGACGAAAUCUUGACGGGUGAUAUAUUGUGGGAGAUAAAAUGUGAUUUUUGAAAUUUAGAAAAAAAAAGUGAAAAAUUGAGUAUUUACAAAAAAUUUUUCUCUAUUUUAAUUUUUUUUAAUUCUUUUAUGUAUCAGUAUGAAAAUAUCGAAUAAACAAGAAAAAAAAAUAAAAUAACUAUAACUACUAAAUUAUUAACUUUUUAUCAAACAAAUAGCAGCAGUUGAAAAAAAAAAAAAGGAAAAAAAAUCUAAACUUCAUUUAAAUCAAAAGUUAUGUUUAAUCUUGACUCAGGACAAAUUAACAAGUCCUGAUCAUCAUUACAGAUAGUGGGACCAACGAAGAUGCGGACAAUAUUGGAAGCUCUUCUCUUCUCUUAUUGUUAUUAUUAUAGUUCUUUAAUUAAUUAAGGGUAAACUUCAGAUAUCACCUCUGUAGUUUCGUAUUUUCUCACUUUAGUACUUUAUGAUUUAAAGUGUAUCAAGUUAGUAUCCAUAGUCUUUUCGUCAGUUUCUCUAUUAAUAUUUUGUUAAAUUAUGCAUAAAAAACUUCAGAUACUCCAUCUAAAUUUAUCGAAUAUUUACUUUAGUACCAUUUAGCUUUAAUUUUGUCGCUGAUUUAAAAAAAAUUAGUAAAAUUAAUAAUAAAAAAAUAAAAAUAAAAUUAUAUGACACUAAAUUAAUAUAUUUAAAAUUAUAAGGUACUGUAGUAAAAAAAUGUGAACUAUAGGGAUUGUAUUUGAAGUUUUUUUAUUAAUUAAUAAUAA
rnacentral:lncRNA from 1 species